CUCUUUAGCCCUUCCAUUAUUUGAAGGGGGUGGGAGGCUCUCAAAGGUCCUCUUUAGCUCUGUAUCCUGUGAACUUACAGCUUCUUUUCUCUCCAUUAACUCAGAAACAAAACACUAUGACUUUGCCCACUCUAAAACAAACAAAAUUUUGGAGAAAACAGAAGGAGAACAGCAAUAUGAACAACUGAGAAGUUUUCCAUACUACUGAGUGCCCUGUAAGAGUCCUCUGUCAUCUAUAGGAAUAAAUGCAGCAAUGAGCAGUAAUGAUUCCUGAUCUGAAAUUAUAUGCAACCAAUUCAGAAGACUGAUUUUAUUAUUACCAUCUGUUCGUGGGGUGUUUUGGAGACAGCUUCUGUGCCCCAAUUCCAACGACUUCAAAUCAUUCCUGACCAGCGUACGUCUGUCUUUCCACCCCAGGCCAUGGAGGAUGUCUAUAAUCUUCGAGUGAGUCCUACAGGAAAAUGUAAAGAACCUUCACCAAACGCAUACAGACGUUACAGAAACUUUGCGAAGAGGCUCCUUCCAGCUCUUCAUGGUACUCAUCCAGGCAAGCAUAAUUAGAGUCUACUUAAUGCAGCUGGCUACAGAUCUCUGCUCUUAGCAAAGCCAGACCCAAUAACACAAACACACUUACAUCCAUUUCACCAACGUGAGCAGGGGACCAUUAACUGCUUUGAAGGAGAAGCCACGCCAUAAUCGGCCUGAGAUUAUGAGGAAAUCAUCUCUCUACAAAAUACAGGGUGUAAAAAUAUAGCUCAGUGAUUGAGUCUUUUUCCAUACAACUCUGAGAUAAAAUAGGUUUCCUAUACCUUUUGGAUAAAGAUGACAAAUGAUGUAGCUCAGUUGUAGAACAGGUAAUGGGGCUGCCUCAGAUCAUUCUAGGGCAUAAUUUUAAAGUCAACAAAAGAUCUGUCAAUCAAAUCUUCAAUCCUGGCUUGCCUAGAAACAAUGCUAUAACUACCUUCCUCAGCAGUCUCAAACUGCUUCCUCUACUGCCUUUUCAUCAUAAUCUCAGCAAUAAAAAAUCCUAUGUAUUUUCUAAAACACUUUGGGUCUAUAUAGACUCAAGUGUAGCAAUUAUUCUCCUUGCUUCUGGAGGAAAUAAGGGAGACAGUUUUAGAAAGCAAAUAAUGAAAUAUAAAAAUAUAAGUUUGUGUCUGCCUUAAAAAGACAACAGUGGUGUUCAUUUUACAAAUUACAGAAAGUAAAAUUUAACAAAAUCUGUUUUCUUUGGUAGAUGAUGGAUGAUCAUAUCACAAU